GACGAACGCUGGCGGCGCGCCUAACACAUGCAAGUCGAACGGAGUCAAGAGGAGCUUGCUUUUCUUGACUUAGUGGCGAACGGGUGAGUAACGCGUGAGUAACCUGCCCUGGAGUGGGGGACAACAGUUGGAAACGACUGCUAAUACCGCAUAAGCCCACGGAUCCGUAUGGAUCUGCGGGAAAAGGAUUUAUUCGCUUCAGGAUGGACUCGCGUCCAAUUAGCUAGUUGGUGAGGUAACGGCCCACCAAGGCGACGAUUGGUAGCCGGACUGAGAGGUUGAACGGCCACAUUGGGACUGAGACACGGCCCAGACUCCUACGGGAGGCAGCAGUGGGGGAUAUUGCACAAUGGGGGAAACCCUGAUGCAGCGACGCCGCGUGGAGGAAGAAGGUUUUCGGAUUGUAAACUCCUGUCGUUAGGGACGAUAAUGACGGUACCUAACAAGAAAGCACCGGCUAACUACGUG
rnacentral:rRNA from 1 species